UGGGGAAUAUUGGGCAAUGGGGGAAACCCUGACCCAGCAACGCCGCGUGAAGGAAGAAGGCUUUCGGGUUGUAAACUUCUUUUACCAGGGACGAAUAGAUGACGGUACCUGGAGAAAAAGCUCCGGCUAACUACGUGCCAGCAGCCGCGGUAAUACGUAGGGAGCAAGCGUUGUCCGGAUUUACUGGGUGUAAAGGGCGUGUAGGCGGAGAUGCAAGUCAGAUGUGAAAUCUGGGGGCUCAACCCCCAAACUGCAUUUGAAACUGUAUCCCUUGAGUAUCGGAGAGGCAGGCGGAAUUCCUAGUGUAGCGGUGAAAUGCGUAGAUAUUAGGAGGAACACCAGUGGCGAAGGCGGCCUGCUGGACGACAACUGACGCUGAGGCGCGAAAGCGUGGGGAGCAAACAGG
rnacentral:rRNA from 1 species